GAUGAACGCUGGCGGCGUGCUUAACACAUGCAAGUCGAACGAAGCACUUUAAUCGAUUUCUUCGGAUUGAAAUUUUAGUGACUGAGUGGCGGACGGGUGAGUAACGCGUGGGUAACCUGCCUCACACAGGGGGAUAACAGUUGGAAACGGCUGCUAAUACCGCAUAAGCGCACAGUACCGCAUGGUACGGUGUGAAAAACUCCGGUGGUGUGAGAUGGACCCGCGUCUGAUUAGCUAGUUGGCAGGGUAACGGCCUACCAAGGCGACGAUCAGUAGCCGACCUGAGAGGGUGACCGGCCACAUUGGGACUGAGACACGGCCCAAACUCCUACGGGAGGCAGCAGUGGGGAAUAUUGCACAAUGGGGGAAACCCUGAUGCAGCGACGCCGCGUGAGCGAAGAAGUAUUUCGGUAUGUAAAGCUCUAUCAGCAGGGAAGAAGAAAUGACGGUACCUGACUAAGAAGCACCGGCUAAAUACGUGCCAGCAGCCGCCGCCG
rnacentral:rRNA from 1 species